UUAAUUUCAAUAAUGCCGAAAAAAAAAACCACCACCCUGCCUAUUUCUGCCGUGAAGCAGUAAUGCGUUUCCGUUUGAAGGGUGCAGCAGCCGUUGUAACUAUACCGAGACCUUAGAACUCAUAUCUCAAAGAUGGGUGGCGGCAUUUACGUUGUUGAUGUCUAUGGGCUCCAAUAACUACUUAACACCCGGUGGGCUGUGAGCUCGUCCAUCUAUCUAAGCAAUAAAAACGAAAACAAUUUUUUUACGAAUAUUCAUUGUUCUCAAACAUAAGCACGAACUAACGAUAGGUCAUUAGUGAAACAUGGAGUAGACGAGGAAAAACAUGCUUCAAAAUUUUUCCGACAUCCGAUAAGACAAAGUAUUUUUGUAUUUUUUACCCUGAUUGACGUCCAAAAAAGAGUAAUAAAAAUAUAUUUUUUUCAAAAAGAUUCUUGUUUACACUCAAUAGAACAUUCUAGUAUUAUUGAUUUUGUUAUGAUAUUUGUUUCAUUAGUAAUCAUAAAAAACUAAAAUAGAUAUCUAUUUGCGUGGCUAAUAACUCAAUGUGACAUGUUCUAUGCCGAUUUAUGCGGUCCAAGUCUUUAGAUUAGUGCCACGCAUAUGUCAGAAAUAGGCAAGAUGGCGGUACCUACCCGUGCAAAUUUCCACCCAAAAAACCAGCAGAAAUUGGUAUAACGAUUAGAAAUAAUCAUUGCCAUUAAAAUUACCGAUCUCACUUGAUACAAUAUUUUAACCAAACAAGCCAACAUAUUUUAUUACGAUAGAUUAAUAUUUAGUGUUCUCAGCAAAAGUAUAAUCGCAACACCAUUCGUGCAGGCGUUACGAAUUGCGUACAUUGAACGACUGUAAACGUUUCGAAUCGCGUUACCGUGAAACGACUUCUCAUAAUGGAACCUACAAUGGUACGUUUAAACAUAAUUUACAAAGGUUUUUUUAUUGGAACUGCUCCGUUUUGAAAUAGUUAUUUAUGCAACAAGAGAGCAAAGUUGUUUUUUGUUUCGAGUGCAGAAUGCUUAGUGCGAGUUUUUUAACGUUCUCGAUAGCGUAAAAGUUAACUCAUAUUUGUAUGGACCCAUUCCAUAGUUUGCCUACGUUUGCCGCUAGGAGCGCUGUUCCAACUGCAUAAAAAAUUGGGCUAACCUUUACGCUAUCGAGAACUUUAAAAAACUCGCGCUAAGCACACUGAUUUUGAGUCCCGAGCAAGCGAAGGAUUCUAUGACUGAUUCACGAGCAUAGCGAGUGAUUCAAAAUUAGAAUCCUAAGCGUAGUGAGAGAUUCAACAGGACGAGAUGCAAAAAACUUUGCUCUCGUGUAGCACACAUAACUUUUCACUUCAGCAGUGAGAACACAUAUUAUUUAAGAGAUAUAUAGAAAUGAACAGGAAUAGAUUGAAAUAACUAUUAAAAAAAAAACGCAAUUUCUUUAUUACAAACUUCGAUCAACAAUAGUAACUAGAUUUCGGGUCGGUGCAUAAAAUCCGUCUCGUCAAAUAACAGCGCACUUGAAAUGUGAGCUCUUAUUUUGUUUAGUUCACUUCAAACACAGCCAAUUUCAACCCGUCUCACAAUACCGCAGUGUGUAUUCAAAAGUUGCAAAAAUAAGGCCCGAAAAAGCAAUUUAACGGCCGGAGUAUCUUACUUUCGCUUUCCUAGCAAUCACGUGUGCAGAAUGGAUCUCGAUUGUCGCCAGAGAAACAAGAGAUGACUUUUAUAAGCCAGCUAAGAACUCCGCUUAUUGACACUGGACAUCUUUGCCUUCCGUGCUCACGGCUACUGAAAUGUGGCCGAAACAUUGUAAUAAAAAUACCACGCUUGAAACCGUUUAAA